rnacentral:rRNA from 1 species
UACAGAGGUGGCAAGCGUUGUUCGGAAUUACUGGGCGUAAAGGGCGCGUAGGCGGUCUUCUAAGUCUUGUGUGAAAUCCCUCGGCUCAACUGAGGAACUGCACGGGAUACUGGAUGACUUGAGUUCGGGAGAGGGAAGCGGAAUUCCGGGUGUAGCGGUGAAAUGCGUAGAUAUCCGGAGGAACACCGGUGGCGAAGGCGGCUUCCUGGACCGAUUACUGACGCUGAGGCGCGAAAGCUAGGGGAGCAGACGGG